rnacentral:lncRNA from 1 species
CUGAGCAGAAUCAAUUCAAAAUAAUUCACCUGCACAGGGCUUCCACUUUCCGGGUACGUAUUUCACUUUCUGGGGUACCCGCGCCUGAUGUCUCCAGCCCGUGGGGAGCACAGAGCUAACCCCAAAGGGCUCUGUGCAGCAAUUACACCUGCUGCCACCCCUAGCAGGAGUUAGGGUGAAGGUUACGAGGUCCGAAAUGGGCCGGUCGGCACUUUGUUCGAGGAGAAGCUUUAAUUUAGAUGCUCACCCGAGGAGCCCGUGCUGGGACGAGCACACGCGUCCCCUUUCCUCCUCCUCAUGGGCAAGCUGGUCCCUUGCAAGCAGCGAUUCUGCCUUUAGGGGUGGCAAUAAACGGGUCGGAGGGAUUUUAUGGGAACCCCGAGAUAGGAGCGAUGAAAACACAACCCCCCAGCACCGCAGCUCGGAUGUAUGGGGCUGUCCAGGAGACCCUACAGGAGUCGCUCCCAGCAGGACCCGCUCGUCCCAAAGCACCUCAUGCUCACCUGUGCCCCCUUCUCCUGCCCCCCUGUGAGCCCGGACCCUAUUGGCACCGGCUCCAUCCCCGCUGCCCCCCUGGAAUCGCCCCGGGACCCCCACCCACUGGUUCCCUUCCCGAAGCAGCGUCCUUGGGGAGUCAGAGGGGCAGCCAUCAAUUACAAAAUAAAUGUAAAAAUAUGGGGUGGAGAAGUACCGGCCAAGGGAGCUCUCCGAGCUGGUGUCGCACCGGGACAUCCUCAGCACCAGUGAGUAGCGGGGGGACAACAGCACCCCCAGUACCCCCCCGGCCCCAGCAGCACCCCCAUCCUCACCAGCACCCUCCUACCAGCACCCCCAACCCCUCCCAGCACCUCACCACCACCCCCCAGCAACCCCCCCAGCACCCCCCCAGCAACCCCCCGAUUCCUACCAACACCCCCCAUUCCCCUUAUUCCCCCCAGCACCACCCCAUUCCCCCCAGCACCCCCCCCAGCAACCU